GGAUGUUCCCAAAGUGCUGUAUCAAAGCACAUUAAUAGAAAGUUAUGUGGAAGGGAAAAGUGUGGAAGAAAAAGGUGCACAAGCAGCAGGGAUGACUGCAGCCUGGAGAGGAUUGUCAGGAAAAGGCCAUUCAAAAGUGUUGGGGACUUUCACAAGGAGUGGACUGAGGCUGGAGUCAGUGCAUCAAGAGCCACCACACACAGAUGGAUC